rnacentral:rRNA from 1 species
UACAGAGGUCUCAAGCGUUGUUCGGAUUCAUUGGGCGUAAAGGGUGCGUAGGUGGCGCUGUAAGUCGGGUGUGAAAUUUCGGAGCUUAACUCCGAAACUGCAUUCGAUACUGCGGUGCUUGAGGACUGGAGAGGAGACUGGAAUUCAUGGUGUAGCAGUGAAAUGCGUAGAGAUCAUGAGGAACACCGGUGGCGAAGGCGGCAUCCUGGACCAACACUGACGCUGAGGAGCGAAAGCCAGGGGAGCAAACGGG